rnacentral:rRNA from 1 species
GGGCCCGCACAAGCGGUGGAGCAUGUGGUUUAAUUCGAUGCAACGCGAAGAACCUUACCAGGUCUUGACAUCCUCGGAAUUUGGCAGAGAUGCCUUAGUGCCUUCGGGAGCCGAGUGACAGGUGCUGCAUGGCCGUCGUCAGCUCGUGUCGUGAGAUGUUGGGUUAAGUCCCGUAACGAGCGCAACCCUUGUCCUUAGUUGCCAGCACGUAAUGGUGGGAACUCUAGGGAGACUGCCGGUGACAAACCGGAGGAAGGUGGGGACGACGUCAGGUCAUCAUGGCCCUUACGACCUGGGCUACACACGUGCUACAAUGGCUGGUACAGAGGGUUGCGAAGUCGCGAGGCGAAGCUAAUCCCGAAAAGCCGAUCUCAGUCCGGAUCGGAGUCUGCAACUCGACUCCGUGAAGUCGGAAUCGCUAGUAAUCG